UUACUCUGAUUUCUCAGUCUGUUUCCUAGUGCCGGUUUGAUGAUCCUGCAGUUUUCCCUGUAAAACUGAGUUAGAGCUUGAACCUCCCCAUAUAUAUGUAUGUAGUGGAGUUUGCAACUGAAGAGAAACACUGUGUUCCCAAUAAGCUAGUGAAGGACGGCUUACACACACGCUUAUCUCUCA